UACGGGGGGCGCAAGCGUUACUCGGAAUCACUGGGCGUAAAGAGCGUGUAGGCGGUAUAGUAAGUCAGAAGUGAAAUCCUAUUGCUUAACGAUAGAACUGCUUUUGAAACUGUUAUACUAGAAUAUGGGAGAGGUAGAUGGAAUUUCUGGUGUAGGGGUAAAAUCCGUAGAGAUCAGAAGGAAUACCGAUUGCGAAGGCGAUCUACUGGAACAUUAUUGACGCUGAGACGCGAAAGCGUGGGGAGCGAACAGG
rnacentral:rRNA from 1 species